GACGGGCUUCCCUCCUGGCUCUAGUUGGAGCUGCCUGCCGGUUCGAUUCCUGGGUUGGGAAGAUCCCCUGGAGAAGGGAAAGGCUACCCACUCCAGUGUUUUUGGGCUUCCCUUGUGGCUCAGCUGAUGGGGAAUGGACACAGAGAGGUUAAACCACUCAGCCUACGUUACACGGCCUGUUGUGAAUUGGGGCCGGGGCUCAGACCUGCCACACUGACUCUGAUAACACCCUGCGUGGACCAGAUGGUGUAGGACAUCUCCCUGCAUAGACUACGGGGCCGCCCCAGCAGCAGCCUGGCUUGUCCUCUGGUGGGAAG
ensembl:lncRNA